rnacentral:tRNA from 1 species
AUUUAGGUCAGCUAAUAAAGCUAAUGAGUUCAUAUCUCAUAAAUGAAAAUAUUGUUAUUCCUUCAGUA